rnacentral:rRNA from 1 species
CGCACUUCCGACCUGCAGGAAUUUGAUUGAUUGAUUCAUGGAUCAGGAUUGAAGCGCUGGCUGACAUGCGUCACACAUGCAAGUCGCAUCGGUAACAGUGCUUUCGUGAUGCUAACGAGUGGCGAAACGGGUUGAGUAAUACAUCGGAAACGUGCUCGAGAGUGGAGGGAUAACGAGGCGAAACGCUAUGCUAAUUACCGCAUACGAUCUCAAGGAUGAAAGCAGGGGACCGCAAGGCCUUUGCGCUCACGGAGCGGCCGAUGGCAGAUUAGGUAGUUGGUGGGGUAAAGGCUCACCAAGCCGACGAUCUGUAGUUGGUCUGAGAGGACGACCAGCCACACUGGGACCGAGACACGGCCCAGACUCCUACGGGAGGCAGCAGUGGGGAAUUUUGGACAAUGGGCGCAAGCCUGAUCCAGCAAUGCCGCGUGCAGGAUGAAGGCCUUCGGGUUGUAAACUGCUUUUGUACGGAGCGAAAAGGCUCUCUCUAAUACAGGGGGCUCAUGACGGUACCGUAAGAAUAAGCACCGGCUAAUUACGUGCCAGCAGCCGCGGUAAUACGUAGGGUGCAAGCGUUAAUCGGAAUUACUGGGCGUAAAGCGUGCGCAGGCGGUUAUGUAAGACAGAUGUGAAAUCCCCGGGCUCAACCUGGGAACUGCAUUUGUGACUGCAUAGCUAGAGUACGGCAGAGGGGGAUGGAAUUCCGCGUGUAGCAGUGAAAUGCGUAGAUAUGCGGAGGAACACCGAUGGCGAAGGCAAUCCCCUGGGCCUGUACUGACGCUCAUGCACGAAAGCGUGGGGAGCAAACAGGAUUAGAUACCCUGGUAGUCCACGCCCUAAACGAUGUCAACUGGUUGUUGGGUCUUCACUGACUCAGUAACGAAGCUAACGCGUGAAGUGACCGC